AGCGGUAAGGCCCUUCGGGGUACACGAGCGGCGAACGGGUGAGUAACACGUGGGUGAUCUGCCCUGCACUUCGGGAUAAGCCUGGGAAACUGGGUCUAAUACCGGAUAUGACCUUCGGCUGCAUGGCCGAGGGUGGAAAGGUUUACUGGUGCAGGAUGGGCCCGCGGCCUAUCAGCUUGUUGGUGGGGUAAUGGCCUACCAAGGCGACGACGGGUAGCCGACCUGAGAGGGUGACCGGCCACACUGGGACUGAGACACGGCCCAGACUCCUACGGGAGGCAGCAGUGGGGAAUAUUGCACAAUGGGCGAAAGCCUGAUGCAGCGACGCCGCGUGAGGGAUGACGGCCUUCGGGUUGUAAACCUCUUUCAGCAGGGACGAAGCGAAAGUGACGGUACCUGCAGAAGAAGCACCGGCUAACUACGUGCCAGCAGCCGCGGUAAUACGUAGGGUGCAAGCGUUGUCCGGAAUUACUGGGCGUAAAGAGUUCGUAGGCGGUUUGUCGCGUCGUUUGUGAAAACUCACAGCUCAACUGUGAGCCUGCAGGCGAUACGGGCAGACUUGAGUACUGCAGGGGAGACUGGAAUUCCUGGUGUAGCGGUGAAAUGCGCAGAUAUCAGGAGGAACACCGGUGGCGAAGGCGGGUCUCUGGGCAGUAACUGACGCUGAGGAACGAAAGCGUGGGUAGCAAACAGGAUUAGAUACCCUGGUAGUCCACGCCGUAAACGGUGGGCGCUAGGUGUGGGUUCCUUCCACGGGAUCUGUGCCGUAGC
rnacentral:rRNA from 1 species